AGAACGAACGCUGGCGGCAUGCCUAACACAUGCAAGUCGAACGCUUUUGGGGCUUCGGUCCCAAAGGAGUGGCGCACGGGUGAGUAGCGCGUGGGAACCUGCCCUGUUGUGGGGGAUAACCGAGGGAAACUUCGGCUAAUACCGCAUACGCCCGGGGGAAACUCCGGGGAAAGAUUUAUCGCAGCAGGAGGGGCCCGCGUCGGAUUAGGUAGUUGGUGGGGUAACGGCCCACCAAGCCUGUGAUCCGUAGCUGGUCUGAGAGGAUGAUCAGCCACACUGGGACUGAGACACGGCCCAGACUCCUACGGGAGGCAGCAGUGGGGAAUAUUGGACAAUGGGCGCAAGCCUGAUCCAGCAAUGCCGCGUGAGUGAUGAAGGCCUUCGGGUUGUAAAGCUCUUUCGCACGCGACGAUGAUGACGGUAGCGUGAGAAGAAGCCCGGCUACUCGUGCCAGCAGCCGC
rnacentral:rRNA from 1 species